UCCCUUGAAUUAUAGCCUGCAUGGCACAUUAAUUGUGUGUGUGUGUUUGUGUGUGUGUUUGUUUGUUCUUGGCUGAGUAAGGAGUAAAAAGAUUAUGUCCUGUCAAACAACACAAACGGAUCAUACAGUAUGUAUGACAUAGACCAGGGGUUCCUAAACUUUUUUUUCUGAUAGCAAAUUCAUCAGGGACCCCCUCAAAAUCCGAACACAACUCAGACUUUAGAGUGAGGUAAAAAAAUAAAAUAAAAAACGUUUCAUGACGCUGCAGUGCAUGCAUGGCCAGACUAACCAAUACUUCAGCCAUGGAAAGUAAAAUGUAAUCAACAAUUGGAUGGAAUACAAUACGUUUUUAGUUGAAAACUGGAUCAUUGAUGGACUACUGUGGAUCCCUGUGAGCCUCCCAGGCCCUGUUGUGCGUCUAAGGGUAUAUUGUAGAUUAAUAAUAUUGUAUUGUGUAUUGUAUUGUAUUGCACCAACUUCUUCCACAGACCCCCUGGCCAGAUCUGUGUACAUUUGUGUGAUCUGUUGUUGUGACAACUGCUCUACAUUUCUUAAUGUUUAAACAACACAUUUAAAAAAAACAAAAUUCUGUUAAAGGUUCGAACAGUGAACAUCAUGUUUUUCAUAACAUUUGAGGAUAUUUGGAUGAAACCAGUGAAAAAAUUACUGUACAUUAACAAAGUUGAUCAUGAAGUUAAAUCAAAUCAAAUCAGAUUUAUUUAUAUAGCCCUUCUUACAUCAGCUGAUAUCUCAAAGUGCUGUACAGAAACCCAGCCUAAAACCCCAAACAGCAAGCAAUGCAGGUGUAGAAGCACGGUGGCUAGGAAAAACUCCCUAGAAAGGCCAAAACCUAGGAAGAAACCUAGAGAGGAACCAGGCUAUGAGGGGUGGCCAGUCCUCUUCUGGCUGUGCCGGGUGGAGAUUAUAACAGAACAUGUCCAAGAUGUACAAAUGUUCAUAAAUGACCAGCAUGGUCAAAUAAUAAUAAUAAUCACAGUAGUUGUCGAGGGUGCAACAGGUCAGCACAUCAGGACUAAAUGUCAGUUGGCUUUUCAUAGCCGAUCAUUAAGAGUAUCUCUACCACUCCUGCUGUCUCUAGGGAGUUGAAGUCUGGGACAGGUAGCACGUCCGGUGAACAGGUCAAGUUACUGGUCCCCUCCCCCAUGUCAAACACUUGAAUUCAGGGAUUACUUCUGUCUUUAUUUAACUAGGCAAGUCAGUUAAGAACAUAUUCUCAUUUACAAUGACGGCCUACCGGGGAACAGUGGCUUGUUCAGGAACAGAACAACAGAUGUUUACCUUGUCAGCUCUGGGAUUAAAUCCAGCAACCUUUCGGUUACUGGCCCAAUGCUUUAACCACUAGGCUACCUGCUGCCCCUAUGCAAUGUCAAGUAGGGCUGUAAAUGUUAUACACCAAUGGUAGCGUCUUGUAAUCUUAACUAAUUUAAAUAUGUAAAGCCUCUUAGGGAUCAAAUCCCAUUAACGGGAUCGAUUUGACAACAUCCAGUGAAAUGGCAGAGCGCCAAAUUCCAAUUGAAUUACUAUAUGCACCAAAUUACUGCUACACUUGUUGUUAAUCCAGCCAACGUGUCAGAUUUCAAAAAGGCUUUACUGCGAAAGCAAGCCAUGCUAUUAUCUGAGGACAGCACCCCAUCAAACAAACACAGACAAUGGUUUGUCCUCUGGGUUUCACCUGCCAAAUAAGUUAUGUUAUACUCACAGACAUCAUUCAAACAGUUUUAGAAACUUCAGAGUGUUUUCCAUCCGGAUCUACUAAUAAUAUGCAUAUCCUAGCUUCUGGGCCUGAGUAACAGGCAGUUUACUUUGGGCACGCUUUUCAUCAUGACGUGAAAAUACCACCCCUAGCCUUAAGAAGUUUAAAACCUCCAUCACAUGUGCGCAUCAUACAGCUUUGUUUACAAACCAUAAGUAGCUCAAAUAGAACGUGGCAGAACGAUACUGGUAACUCAACUUUUCAUCUGUGUUGUAACUUAUAGCUAGCAAGCUACUUACCAUCAUGCCGGAAAAAACACACUGUGUUGUGACUGGAUGCCAUAGUGAUAAUUUAACAUUACACUAUUUCCUGACGAAUGAAGACAUCCGUAAGCAGUGGCUGAUUUUCAUUUCGGGUGGACAGGAUCAUAACACCCGUGUGCAGUGCACAUUUAGAGCAAAGUUGCUUUAUAAAUUGGGGAGAACAUUUGAUGUGUCUUGCCAGGAAGCUAAUCAUGAAGAUGGAUGCUGAACCAUCAUUGACAGUGGAUCAGUUUAUCUUGCAAGCACUGACCAUAAUGUAAGUAUGAGUCUGACACGGUGGCUGUAACUGUGGCUACUUUGACGGUAUAUUUUCUGCAACACAGCUGAUUGUCACUAUAUGGUUUUUGUUCUUCCAUCCCUAAGCCCCCUACAUUGAGUCUGAGAACUGACAGCAAACAGCUGAAAUUAAGGAAUGUUGUCCACAAAAGGAGUUCUGGCAACCAACGCAGCAGGAAUGCCAUGAUACAAAAUCAGCUUUCCCAAGACAAAGGGGCCUGUGAAGACAGAAAAAAAGAAGGGGGAUAUGCUGUAAAGCCUGUGAAGACAGAUCAAGUGAAGACAGACCAAAGAAAAGGGGAUAUGCUGUAAAGCCUGUGAAGACAGAUCAAGUGAAGACAGACCAAAGAAAAGGGGAUAUGCUGUAAAGCCUGUGAAGACAGAUCAAGUGAAGACAAACCAAAGAAAAUGGGAUAUGCUGUGAAGCCUGUGAAGACAGAUCAAGUGAAGACAAACCAAAGAAAAUGGGAUAUGCUGUAAAGCCUGUGAAGACAGAUCAAGUGAAGACAGACCAAAGAAGGGGGGAUAUGCUGUAAAGCCUGUGAAGACAGAUCAAGUGAAGACAAACCAAAGAAGGGGGGAUAUGCUGUAAAGCCUGUGAAGACAGACCAAAGAAGGGGGGAUAUGCUGUAAAGCCCAUGAAGACAGAUCAAGUGAAGACAAACCAAAGAAGGGGGGAUAUGCUGUAAAGCCUGUGAAGACAGACCAAGGAAGGGAAAUAUGCUGUGAAGCCUGUGAAGACAGAUCAAGUGAAGACAGACCAAAGAAGGGGGGAUAUGCUGUGAAGCCUGUGAAGACAGAUAAAGUGAAGACAAACCAAAGAAGGGGGGGGAUAUGCUGUGAAGCCCAUGAAGACAGACCAAGGAAGGGGAAUAUGCUGUGAAGCCUGUGAAGACAGAUCAAGUGAAGACAAACCAAAGAAGGGGGGAUAUGCUGUAAAGCCCAUGAAGACAGAUCAAGGAAGGGAAUAUGCUGUGAAGCCUGUGAAGACAGAUCAAGUGAAGACUGACCAAAGAAGGGGGAUAUGCUGUAAAGCCUGUGAAGACAGACCAAGGAAGGGGAAUAUGCUGUGAAGCCUGUGAAGACAGAUCAAGUGAAGACAAACCAAAGAAGGGGGGAUAUGCUGUAAAGCCCAUGAAGACAGAUCAAGGAAGGGGAAUAUGCUGUGAAGCCUGUGAAGACAGAUCAAGUGAAGACUGACCAAAGAAGGGGGGAUAUGCUGUAAAGCCUGUGAAGACAGACCAAGGAAGGGGAAUAUGCUGUGAAGCCUGUGAAGACAGAUCAAGUGAAGACAGACCAAAGAAGGGGGGAUGUGCUGUAAAGCCUGUGAAGACAGACCAAGGAAGGGGAAUAUGCUGUGAAGCCUGUGAAGACCGAUCAAGUGAAGACAGACCAAAGAAGGGGGGAUAUGCUGUAAAGCCUGUGAAGACAGAUCAAGUGAAGACAGACCAAAGAAGGGGGGAUAUGCUGUAAAGCCUGUGAAGACAGAUCAAGUGAAGACAAACCAAAGAAGGGGGGAUAUGCUGUAAAGCCCAUGAAGACAGAUCAAGUGAUGACAGACCAAAGAAGGGGGGAUAUGCUGUAAAGCCCGUAAAGACAAACCAAAGAAGGGGGGAUAUGCUGUAAAGCCUGUGAAGACCGAUCAAGUGAUGACAGACCAAAGAAGGGGGGAUAUGCUGUAAAGCCCGUGAAGACUGAUCAAGUGAUGACAGACCAAAGAAGGGGGGAUAUGCUGUAAAGCCCGUGAAGACAAACCAAAGAAGGGGGGAUAUGCUGUAAAGCCCAUGAAGACAGAUCAAGUGAUGACAGACCAAAGAAGGGGGGAUAUGCUGUGAAGCCUGUGAAGACAGACCCAACCAAAACUGCUACAUAGACAGGCUCAUGGAUCUCCUCUUCAGCAAGGUCACCCUUGAUCCAGUGCCUUAUGUGGGGAAGAUGUGCGAGCUGUCCAUCCCAGAACCCAUCUGCCCAGUGUGAGAGGCCUGACAAGGAGGAGGCCAUACCUGGUUUUGUCUCCAGCUUCAAUCUUCGGGGUGACUGAAGUCAAGUGGGUGACUGAAGCCUGCUUGAUUGAAGCAGGGUACAUGGUCCCCCUCCUCUCCCGAUCCCGUCCCAUCAAUCUCUGUAGUUGGUUGCAUUUCCCAAAGCCUAAGUCAUUUACUUUUACAUGAUAUGAUAUCACAUUUUCUUUUACGUCGUUUUUUCUAUCAUUUGGACGGGAGAUGAGAGUUACAAAUUGUAAGACUCAAUGGGGUCCUGUACACUGUAGGGCAGCAGGGUGCCUAUAUUGCGGUUUAUGGCUCUAUUUGAUUUUUUUUUAUGUCAAAUGAUGUCUCACCAUUAUUUCUUACCUUUAUUUCUCAUGAAUGUCCAUGUUGAUCAAUAUUUCAGAUAUGCUUGCCUCAUGUAAAUGAACAAAUAAAUGUCUGA